UGCGUCUCGCUGGGGUGCGCCGCAGGUUGCGGCGCUGAGAAAAACCCAUGGAACCUGAACCAGGUCAUGCUGGCGGAGGAAGUUCGAGAUGGCGGAGC
rnacentral:ncRNA from 2 species